GCGCUCCUUCCAUGCCAGUCGACGGCAGCACGGACUUCGGUCUGGUGGCGAGUGGCGAACGGUGAGUAAUACAUCGGAACGUACCCUGUUGUGGGGGAUAACUAGUCGAAAGAUUAGCUAAUACCGCAUACGACCUGAGGGUGAAAGUGGGGGACCGCAAGGCCUCACGCAGCAGGAGCGGCCGAUGUCUGAUUAGCUAGUUGGUGGGGUAAAGGCCCACCAAGGCGACGAUCAGUAGCUGGUCUGAGAGGACGAUCAGCCACACUGGGACUGAGACACGGCCCAGACUCCUACGGGAGGCAGCAGUGGGGAAUUUUGGACAAUGGGGGCAACCCUGAUCCAGCAAUGCCGCGUGUGUGAAGAAGGCCUUCGGGUUGUAAAGCACUUUUGUCCGGAAAGAAAUCGCUUCGGUUAAUACCUGGGGUGGAUGACGGUACCGGAAGAAUAAGCACCGGCUAACUACGUGCCAGCAGCCGCGGUAAUACGUAGGAUGCGAGCGUUAAUCGGAAUUACUGGGCGUAAAGCGUGCGCAGGCGGCUUUGUAAGACAGGCGUGAAAUCCCCGAGCUCAACUUGGGAAUUGCGCUUGUGACUGCAAGGCUAGAGUAUGUCAGAGGGGGGUAGAGUUCCACGUGUAGCAGUGAAAUGCGUANAGAUGUGGAGGAAUACCGAUGGCGAAGGCAGCCCCCUGGGACGUCACUGACGCUCAUGCACGAAAGCGUGGGGAGCAAACAGGAUUAGAUACCCUGGUAGUCCACGCCCUAAACGAUGUCAACUAGUUGUUGGGGAUUCAUUUCUUCAGUAACGUAGCUAACGCGUGAAGUUGACCGCCUGGGGAGUACGGUCGCAAGAUUAAAACUCAAAGGAAUUGACGGGGACCCGCACAAGCGGUGGAUGAUGUGGAUUAAUUCGAUGCAACGCGAAAAACCUUACCUACCCUUUAGCAUGCCACUAACGAA
rnacentral:rRNA from 1 species